UAGUAACGGUAACGAACGCGCGAGCCAUUUUCCAGUGACCGCUGUAAAGAAAGAAAAACAUCAACCAUGACGACACCGUCACACCGCCCCACAUCGAGCUCCCUCUCCUUUAUCACUUCCCUCUUUACGUUCCCUCCAAAAUCACCGAACUUAAAUCAAAACCUAUUAACCAAACGCCCCAAUCUUCCAUCUCCGAUGAAGAUAUUGCGCAGAGACGCUGCUUUACUCUCAUUCCUCUCCCUCGUCUCUUCCUUUUCCCAUCCCGCUCCUGCUUCCGCCUUUGGCAUUUCAGGACCGAAGGACUGGCUUAAAGAGCAAAAGAAGAAGUCAUCGAAGUUUCUAUUGGCGCCUAUUGAUGCUUCAAGAGAAAUUCUUCGCUCUGCCUAUCUCAUAUUGACGGCUAGCGAAUCGGGAUAUACAAAUAAGGAAUUAGAGGAAGUGCAGGAGCUGUUAAGAUCUGCUGCUAGGGAUUGUGUUCCACAAGAUAGGAAUUCUUUCGUUGCUUUUCAAGCUAGUACUGGAGUCGAGGUUUGCACAUUUCAGUUAAUUGUGAAGAAUGCGGCUUCCUUGCUUGGUAAAAAGGAUUCUGUAAAGUUGGAAGCUGAUGCUAUGCUUAAUGAUCUCAUAAGAUCUUUUACUUCUCUUAAUGGUCUUGCAAAUGAAAGUGAUAUUCAAGUUGCUUCUGAUAGAAAGAAGUUAGCUGAUGCACUUACGAAUACUCUAUCUUCCCUAAAUAAGUUUGAGCAGGGUGUGAAGGACUGCCUUGAAGUUUGAUCAUUUCGCGUUUCUAUAUUGAGGGCAGCUUGUACAUCAGUUUUGUGGGUGUAUUAAAACAGUUUAAGGAUAACAAAGUAAGCUUGUCAACCAGGUUUAUAACUGAAAACGAUUCGGAAACUAUAUUGCACAAGAUCGAGAACAAGAAACUUGUGUAUCAUUUUCGUUGCAAGUAUGGUAAUAUGAACAGUAAAAUCAAACACUUAGAGUUUGAUCCUUUUUUUCCUCAUUCUUUACACCAAAGAUUGUGUUUCUCCACACAAGUCAAUACAGCAUCAGACCCAGGUCGAGUCACUUUAAAGUGAAGUCCAAGCUGGGUGGACAACUGGAGUUCAUGUGCUCCGUGGUUCUCUCUUUCUAUAUAAACACAGAAAAGAGCAGUUCUGCUGGAUUACAGCUUGCAUAACAUUAGAGCUUCUAUUUUUCUGAGGUAGGGAAUAUGAUGGCUGGUGGGUGGGUUAGAUACGUUUUCUUCCUUCUUUCAGUUAGUUCAUGCUGAACUGGGUCUUUUCACCCUCCUGUAUGCUUACUACAAAUAGUCUUUUGUUUGAAAUGAUACUACAAAUAAACUUCCGUAACCUGAGUACUUCUAUGUACUUGAUGGAUGCUGCAAUAUACUGGUGAAUUACUUGGAGAAUCGAACACACAGGUGCAAAUACUGAAAAGAGUGAUUCUUACACUUAUGCUAUAAAUGGGGUGCAAUGCUUUAUGCGUAUUAUUUCAACUAUACAGCCGAAUUGUUCUUACUGUUGGUUAGUUUGAUCAGGCAAACCAGAUGCCUGCACCAAAUACAAACGACAACAAGGCUUUCCAUCUUCAGGGUAGGUCUGCAUUGAUCUGGGCAAGCUGCGGAGCCUGUUGAACAGAUUUAAUGGGUCAUCCAUGAGACCAAAAUGAGCAUCAGGAUCACCAAUUUGUGAAAGCCUUACAUUGGAAAAUCCUAGAGGAGGCAAAAGAUGAUCAGGCCAAUCACUGUAGAAAUGAAAGAUGGAACUCGACAUUGUGGUGGAUGGUUUGUUCAUGAAAUCUGCCAGCAGAACUGUGUGGGCAAGGGCACACUUGUCAGCUAUGCUCUUCAGCACCUGCAUGGCUUGAGUAUGAGAGAGAUAGUAGAGGAUGCCUUCUAGCACCCAUACUGUGUUCUUCUGUGGCACGAACCCUGAUGUCUGAAGCUUUUCGGGCCAGUCAUUAAUUCUGAUGUCGGCUGCUACUCUGUGUAGGGAUUUUGCCAUCAUUUUUGGACAUUUAAGUUCAUCCAUUGAUUCCAUGGCUGCCUGUAGAAGAGUUGUUUUCACAUCUAAGACUUCUGGAAAAUCAACUUCAAAGACACUGCUUUCCUUCAAGCAGCUUAGGCGAUUCUGGUUAGGCAUUUAUGGAAAAGCAUUGAUGAAGAUACAUCUACACCGGACUUAGAUGCUAAAAGUUGAAAGCAGGUUAACUUUUUAUCAGUUUCAUCGUCUCAAGCUGCAUUAUCAAUUAGAAAAUGUAAAGAAUUGGGUGGAGAGAACCAACCUGCGCCAAGGAAAACAACCUGUGCAUCUCCACUGAAAGAGUUGAGAGCAGCUUCCAGAUUUGAAUCGAACCAGAGGGUUCGAACUGCAAGAAGCACCCCUGAAAUUUCUCGGGCAUUGUUAAGUUGAUCAUUCUUUAUCUUGUCGUGGAGGUUUCUGAGGUAUGUUUCUCCUGCUAGCAAAUCUGCAAGUGGAUCGUCAAUCACAUGUUUCCAUAGAGCUCUUCCAGCUGCCGUUUGGCAUGCUGAUCGUCUCAAUGGAUCCCAAUCGUGUUGGAUUGUUGCAUGGAGUUCUCGAACUUUAUCAGUAGAAAACAAACCCGGAAGCUCGAGUUCUAUCCAUUGCGGUUUUUCCUGCAUACCAUUCUCUUGUUCUGACAUGUUUCACGAGAGGUUGAAGAUUAAUAAAGAUAAUUAAGUAGGAGAGAACUUAAAAUAUAAAGGGAAGAAUCAGGCAUUGUUUGUAGAGAUAAGAAAAGAGAGCCACACAAGUAACUGACGCUCGAGAAUUAAGCAAAAACCGUAUCCAGCUUCUCUGCCUAGGGAAAUUAAAAAAAAAUGAAGGCAGUAAUUGAGUCCACGAAUCCCACCAUAUUUCUUUUUGCGUGACCCGUUUUGUGCUGUCCCGUUUGAUUAAAGAAACAGCAAAGUAUUGCGAAAUGAUCCCAUCGUAAUUUAUCAGGAUGCGGUUUUGGAAAGUAUAAUGGAAUCACAUUGCACUGUCCAAACAAGUACUCGCUUGUCUUUUUGGUCAGGUAUAGUAACUCCAUUAAGGAGCUAGUGAAAGGAAAGGCCCCAAAGAAUUGAGUGGUUCUAAUUGAGACAAGGACCCGAUUUAAAAUUUAUAGUGAAUAGGGACUAAAUCUAUUUGAAUUGAUCUUUGGGUUAUUUUCUGGAUAUAAUCACAUGCUACUCUUUUGUAUUUA